CUUUAUUUUUAGCUUCUUCACAACUCUCUACCACGACAGCUGUCCUCCUCCUCCCUUUCACAGUGCAACGUCAGGAAUAGCGACUCUGUCCCCCGGCCUCAGAUCUGGGGCUGCCGGUUAGCGUGACGUGAGUUCUGUGGUUCUCAAAGCUGUUAGUCGGUGUAAACACAUAUUUUGCAGUUAGCUUAGCUCUGGUUUGAUGGUGGUAGGAGAGCAUCACUGACACUGUGAAUCUGCUGAAGAUCUCAGCACCAGGAACCUCUUUCCAGCAUUGUGGGUCUUAUUUACCUGACGCUUGUGACCUCGUAGCAUAACUGUGAGGAUCGGCAUCCAUUGUGCCAGCAUCUUGUCUGCUGGUCCCUCCAUCUGUCACUCAUCCUUUCACCCUGUCCUCCCUCAUCUCUCUCCGCCCUCAAACCCUUACCCGGCCCAGCCCAUGACAGCAGCGCUGCCAGCAUGGCAUUCUCAUCACGCUUUUCCUUCUGGGAGCAAAAGGAAAGUGAUGUUCCAUUCUCCAUUUUCAUCUCUCUGCACUGUGUGACAUCAGCUCGGUGUUGUGCAUGCAAUGCACCGAUGCUCGCACUUUUAUAUCUAUCUGUAGCAAUGCACUGGGGUGCCGCUUGCACGGUUCAUGAGCACACAGCUGCUAACGGCCUCUAUUCAGGGCACGGCUGGAUAUACGUGUGUGUGUGUGCGUGUAAGGUAGCAGAUGGAAAACACAAGUCACUGUUUGAAAAUGACCAGCGUGCUUUUAUAGUCAUGGGAGACUGUAGUUUGUCAGCUCUCUGCCAUAGCUCAUUUGAUUACGUUUUGAAAGGCUGCCACUGGCCUGAACACAGCGGUAAAGUGAUGCCACUGCUUUGUAAAGGGCAAGCACUGGAAAUUUUGGUGACUUUUUAGGCUUCUGUAUUUUUCAUUAAUUUAAGUUUCUCAGUCUAACCUGGUCUUUAAAAUGUUAGAAAUGAUUUUGAAGUGCAUGCAUGAAAUGUGUGCAAAAUAAGUGACUCAUUUUUAUGUAAAUGCUAAUUGCCUUUUUACAUGGACCCUUAUAGAUCAAAGAGGAGAACAAGCCAAAGAAUUCCAAAGAAAAUUCUGACAGUGAUGGCAGCCUAAGUAGCCGCUCCCAGUCAGUGCCCUGCCUUGAGCCUGGCAGAGGUCUGCUGCGUGCCAAGAGCCCUUCUCCUGUUCAGGACACGCCUGCCCAGGUCCAGUAUCAGCCUCACCUGAGG